UUGGGAAAGGGAACAACUGAUAGU
rnacentral:miRNA from 1 species